rnacentral:tRNA from 1 species
GUUAGUGUAGCAAAUCUUGGCCUUGCAGAAGAUCUAAACCCUUCUCACAGAGGUUCAAAUCCUCUCUCUAACU